UUUCCUGGGAGGCCUGUGACAGCCUUUUCCCUUCUCCACUCUGCACAGAACCCUUGCUGAAGCUGUUCAAUUCAGGCAGCCAUACAUCCUUCCUCAGUCUCUUCUUUAGAAGGGCUGAAAUCCUGGAAACAACCAAUCUCUCACCAAAUCCAGCAGCAUCGGUGUCACCCCAGCACGGCCACUUUACAGAUGUCACCCUUUGGUCACCUGCCCAUGCCUUUGGUGCUCCAGCAGGAAGGUUUGGGCUGAUGAUGGAAAGGAAAAAAAAAAGCAGCUCCUCUCACUUAGCCCCCUUUGGGACAGCAGCCACAGAUGAAGAGCAAGCAAUCAACAUGUCAGGAUAAAAUUAGAUUGCCACGGAGUACAAGGUUUGAUCCAAUAUCUGUAUCAGAUUUGGGUUUCAGCUCUGCAUAUCACAAUAAAACAAUCC